rnacentral:rRNA from 1 species
AUGCAUGACUCGUUCGCGGCCGCAGCCGUCCCGGUGGCGCCGGUGGACCACGACGAGACGGCGGCGGGCGAAGAGGCGUGCACCCUGCGGGUGCGGUUCCCAGACGGGCGGAUCAUCUGCAAGAGCUUCGGCGCCGGGCGUCCGGUGGCGCUGCUGUUCCGGUACUGCCACUCGGUGGUUACUGCCGGCUACGACGGGACAGUCCGGACGCUGCCGUUCUGGCUCGUGAGGCUCGCGGGCGGCGCCACCGAGGAGAUACGUCCAGACGAGUCCCCGCUGCGGGAUCUCGGGCUGCAUCACUGCACAGUCCAUCUGGUUUUCUGUUUUUAG